GUGCCUGUGGUGUAGCGGUUAGCACACGGCCUUGUGGAGGCCGCGGCUCCGGUUCAAAUCCGGGCAGGCACCCA
rnacentral:tRNA from 2 species